rnacentral:rRNA from 1 species
AUUGAACGCUGGCGGCAGGCCUAACACAUGCAAGUCGAGCGAGCGGCGGACGGGUGAGUAAUGUAUGGGGACUGCCCGAUAGAGGGGGAUAACUACUGGAAACGGUGGCUAAUACCGCAUACUAUCGGAUAACCCAUAUGGGAUUAGCUAGUAGGUGGGGUAAAGGCGCACCUAGGCGACGAUCUCUAGCUGGUCUGAGAGGAUGAUCAGCAAAACUGGGACUGAGACACGGCCCAGACUCCGACGGAGGCAGCAGUGGGGAAUAUUGCACAAUGGGCGCAAGCAUGAUGCAGCCAUGCCGCGUGUAUGAAGAAGGCCUUAGGGUUGUAAAGUACUUUCAGCGGGGAGGCGUUACUCGCAGAAGAAGCACCGGCUAACUCCGUGCCAGCAGCCGCGGUAAUAC